CAUGACUGAGAGACUGAGCAUAAUGUAUUAAGCAUAUGCUUUCACUUAUGGCAUUUAACUUUUAUAACUAUCUAAUAAAAUAAGAAUUAUUGUCCUUAUUUUACGUAGAAGGGAAGCUGGAGUUAAGGACCAUCGCCUGCUCAAGUCAGUUGGAGAAGCUAGGAUUUCAACCUAGGUCCCUUGGACUGCAAAUUCCUGAUUUUCUCUGCUGGACUUCCCUGGUGGUCUGUGGCUAAGACUCUGAGCUCCCAGUGUGGGACCCUGCAUUCCAUCCCUGGUACGAUGUCAACCAUUCUUAUUGAUGCUGCCCUGUUUAUAAUGUUAGUUUUUCUAAAGCUGCUUCUAAGAUUUCCCCCCAUUUUGUUCAUUGAAAGCCUUGCAACUAUGGGUUUACAGUUUUUACCAAAUAUUGAAAAUUUUCAGGUAUUAUUGCCUCAAAUAUUUUUCUUCAUUUCCUUUCUUUUCUGAGACUCCAAUUUCAUGGCUGUUACACUGUUGAUGUUUUCCCUCAGGUCACUGAGGAUUUAAUCAUUUUUUUAACCUUAAAUAAAAAUGC